CCUACGGGAGGCAGCAGUGAGGAAUAUUGGUCAAUGGGCGCGAGCCUGAACCAGCCAAGUAGCGUGAAGGAUGACUGCCCUACGGGUUGUAAACUUCUUUUAUAAAGGAAUAAAGUGAGGCACGUGUGCCUUUUUGUAUGUACUUUAUGAAUAAGGAUCGGCUAACUCCGUGCCAGCAGCCGCGGUAAUAAGGAGGAUCCGAGCGUUAUCCGGAUUUCUUGGGUUUAAAGGGAGCGUAGAUGGGUUGUUAAGUCAGUUGUGAAAGUUUGUGGCUCAACCGUAAAAUUGCAAGUGAUACUGGCAGUCUUGAGGACAGUUGAGGUAGGCGGAAUUCGUGGUGGAGCGGUGAAAUGCGUAGAUAGCACGAAGAACUCCGAUUGCGAAGGCAGCUUACUAAACUGCCACUGACAUUGAUGCUCGAAAGUGUGGGUAUCAAACAGGAUUAGAUACCCUAGUAGUC
rnacentral:rRNA from 1 species